GUUGAACGCUGGCGGCGUGCCUAAUACAUGCAAGUCGAGCGAAUGGAUUAAGAGCUUGCUCUUAUGAAGUUAGCGGCGGACGGGUGAGUAACACGUGGGUAACCUGCCCAUAAGACUGGGAUAACUCCGGGAAACCGGGGCUAAUACCGGAUAACAUUUUGAACCGCAUGGUUCGAAAUUGAAAGGCGGCUUCGGCUGUCACUUAUGGAUGGACCCGCGUCGCAUUAGCUAGUUGGUGAGGUAACGGCUCACCAAGGCAACGAUGCGUAGCCGACCUGAGAGGGUGAUCGGCCACACGGGGACUGGGACACGGCCCAGACUCCUGCGGGAGGCAGCAGUAGGGAAUCUUCCGCAAUGGACGAAAGUCUGACGGAGCAACGCCGCGUGAGUGAUGAAGGCUUUCGGGUCGUAAAACUCUGUUGUUAGGGAAGAACAAGUGCUAGUUGAAUAAGCUGGCACCUUGACGGUACCUAACCAGAAAGCCACGGCUAACUACGUGCCAGCAGCCGCGGUAA
rnacentral:rRNA from 1 species